GGUGGACAUCGACAACGAUUCUCCCAUCACACUCACGCCGGCUCCGCAGACGGACGGAAGCGGAAACUUCAGUGUGACGUUCCCGAUCGAUGCCGCAGACACAGGCGUCCACUUUUAUCUGAGUGCGACAGGGCAGGGAUCGGGUUCGACAGCAGGGACGACGUUUACGGAUGACAACGUCACUAGUGCGAACAUUACGAUGAAGAACGCAG
rnacentral:misc_RNA from 1 species